CCUACGGGUGGCAGCAGUGGGGAAUAUUGGACAAUGGGGGGAACCCUGAUCCAGCGACGCCGCGUGAGUGAAGAAGUAUUUCGGUAUGUAAAGCUCUAUCAGCAGGGAAGAAAGAAAUGACGGUACCUGACUAAGAAGCCCCGGCUAACUACGUGCCAGCAGCCGCGGUAAUACGUAGGGGGCAAGCGUUAUCCGGAUUUACUGGGUGUAAAGGGGGCGUAGACGGCGAUGCAAGUCUGAAGUGAAAGGCGGGGGACCAACCUCCGGACUGCUUUGGAAACUGUAUGGCUGGAGUGCAGGAGAGGUAAGUGGAAUUCCUAGUGUAGCGGUGAAAUGCGUAGAUAUUAGGAGGAACGCCAGUGGCGAAGGCGGCUUACUGGACUGUAACUGACGUUGAGGCUCGAAAGCGUGGGGAGCAAACAGGAUUAGAUACCCUUGUAGUC
rnacentral:rRNA from 1 species